rnacentral:rRNA from 1 species
GUGGGGAAUAUUGGACAAUGGGGGCAACCCUGAUCCAGCAAUGCCGCGUGUGUGAAGAAGGCCUUCGGGUUGUAAAGCACUUUCGAUGGGGAAAAACAAGUUCGACCUAAUACGUCGGACCCUGAUGGUACCCAGAGAAGAAGCACCGGCUAACUCUGUGCCAGCAGCCGCGGUAAUACAGAGGGUGCAAGCGUUAAUCGGAAUUACUGGGCGUAAAGCGUGCGUAGGUGGUUUGUUAAGUCAGGCGUGAAAUCCCUGGGCUCAACCUGGGAACUGCGCUUGAUACUGGCAGACUAGAGUGUGGUAGAGGGUAGUGGAAUUCCGCAUGUAGCAGUGAAAUGCGUAGAUAUGCGGAGGAACACCAGUGGCGAAGGCGGCUACCUGGACCAACACUGACACUGAGGCACGAAAGCGUGGGGAGCAAACAGGAUUAGAAACCCCAGUAGUCC